rnacentral:lncRNA from 1 species
CCCAAGUCCAGACAAGCCCAGCUGACCCAUCAGUGGUGUGUGCAGGCAGACCAAGUCCUGCAGCCAGAGGCUCAUAAGGGGCUGAUUGCACUUGGCAUUGCAUUUGCCUUCAGCUGCUUUCCAAAUUAAAUUUAACUUUUUAGGGAUCAGCCGGAUGAAGCUGCUUACUGCAGCUGUGAGGCCUGUCCCUCCAUGAAGAACAGCAAAGCUCCUUGGCAGGCUCCAGCUGCCCGGGCUGUGCUUGCUCAGCUCCUCUGCUGCCCCAAACCUCUUGCUGCCUGCACUUCAGCCAUGCUUCUCCUCAAGGAUCUCAAAACACCCCCCUGGUGCUGGAUAUACUGGCCCCACUGGCAUCACUGGCAAGACUGUUUUGGACUUGAAGAGAGGACAG